rnacentral:lncRNA from 1 species
AAUAGCUCAUCGCACACGUCUGUGCCAGCAUGGUGGGGGGACAAGGACGGGGGAAGGACCCGUUUUUGCUAUCAGCAGCCCUGCUAAUUGCUUUCCGAUUUUGCUGUAAUUGGGCAAGUCACCUGGCCUCCCAUCUCUCCUUAGGCUCCCAAAGUUCAAACCAGUUCAUCAGAAAGAUUCCUGGGCUCACAAGACUUCAUGGAAAUGAAAGCUUUUCACUCCAGCCUGGGCAGGAUCAGACUGACCCGGGUGAGACUGUUCUGAGUAAGUAUCCUCUGGGACUCUUCUGUCAUUGGCGAUUGCUGAUGUAAAAACUGUUCCAUAAUACUUUGA